AUGGCUCAGGAUGAACGCUAGCUACAGGCUUAACACAUGCAAGUCGAGGGCAGCAUGAUCUUAGCUUGCUAAGAUUGAUGGCGACCGGCGCACGGGUGAGUAACGCGUAUCCAACCUUCCCCUUAGUAGGGCAUAGCCCGGUGAAAAUCGGAUUAAUACCCUAUGUUUUCCAAUGAGGACAUCUGAGCUGGAACAAAGAUUGAUCGCUAAGGGAUGGGGAUGCGUCCGAUUAGGUAGUCGGCGGGGUAACGGCCCACCGAGCCAUCGAUCGGUAGGGGUUCUGAGAGGAAGGUCCCCCCACACUGGUACUGAGACACGGACCAGACUCCUACGGGAGGCAGCAGUGAGGAAUAUUGGUCAAUGGACGUAAGUCUGAACCAGCCAAGUAGCGUGCAGGAUGACGGCCCUAUGGGUUGUAAACUGCUUUUAUAUGGGGAUAAAGUUCACUACGUGUAGUGUUUUGUAGGCACCAUAUGAAUAAGGACCGGCUAGUUCCGUGCCAGCCGCCGC
rnacentral:rRNA from 1 species